GUUGUUAGCCCAGGUGACCUGGAAGGGGUUGGGGUUGGCAUGGUGGAGGGAAAGUUGGAUCGGGAAGCAAAAAUGGAAGAGGAAGCAAAAUGGACGUCACUAAAAUCCUGAACAGUAUCAUGAUAUAAUGAUGUAUACACAGUUCCCGAAGCUUACAUACAUGUGCAUAUAAAGGGAAAUUUUAAAAAGAAAAUUAAAAGAAAAAGCCCCAGAUUCCCUUCUCAGAAAACCACAAUUUCCCAUUGAAUUCUGAUGGGUUAGAUACCCCUAAAGGUCACGUGUGGCUCCACCCCGGAGUUGAGCAUAUCUGCUGUAGACCUUGGAUUUGUCUGGUCUACAAUGUGAUGUCUUCUAAUCUGAGGAACAGUUUUCCCAUCUGCAUAAGGGCACCUGCCUCACAGAGCAGCUUUGGGUCUCGUAAACGGACGGCACAUGUGAGUUUACUGCCAGGCAGUCCUCAGUCUGUGCACGUCACAGUCCACUUUGGAACUCCUAAGAAUGCUGUCUCCUCCCACCCUAGACGUCCUCACACAGAAUCUGUGAGGGGCUGGCCUAGGCAGAAUUAUCUUUUAAAAACUUUGCAUAUGAGGUGCUUGAUAAAAGCUAGUUGGAUUUGAAUUUGGCCACAGCUCAGAUAAUCUGGGGAACUGGGGUGUCUGCUAAGGAUAUGUGACCAUCUGCUGGUGUAAACCUUUCAGAUGAUGGGGAAGCCGGGCAUCACGGAGAGCUGAGAAGACUCGCUUGUUCACACUUACUCGAAAGCAGAAGAGGCCUGGGAACUUCAGCUGGCGACUCUGGUGUUUCUGACUUUGGCUAUCAGCAAACACUGCUGGAGGCUCUGCCCCGUCCACACCCAGCUUCUGUGAGCACGGAGGAGGCAUAAUCUGCAAAGUCUGACACAGGCCAUGCCUAACCAUCCUUGACUGGCUACCUCCAGUGACAUAAAACUGAGAAGCAAAGACACCCAGGAGGCAAGGCUGCAGUCAUUUAGGAGAGUGGACGGAUGCCAGGGCUGUGCUGCCUGCAGCCUUUGUGGGGCUCAGUGACCAGAGGAGCAGCCCAUGCCAAGCCUAGUCCCCAGGGAUGCUGCCUGCGGUGCUCACGCAUCUUAUACAGGGACACAGAGGAACUCUGGGCUCCACCCUGCAGCCUCUGCUCCAGCACGCGGUGGUCCCAGGAGAUGUAGAACCAGCCCUUCCUCUGCAGUUGCACUGGGACUGGACCUCACUGUGGGAACAACAAGAUCAACAAGAGGAGCAAGAACAACAUCAAGAGUUGGGGCCUGGGGGUCCUGACGGGUACAGGAUGGGUACAGACCCACACAGGAAUCCCAGAGUGUGUUCCACAGCAGGACACGCCUGCGCUGAAAGAGUGGGCAGAAAGGAGCUGACCUGGGAGUUGGAGCUCAUGCUGGACUUCAUGACUCACUCUUAACCAGCAGGACAUGGAGAGGAAAACAGUCACUCUCCCGUGGGGAGACCUGGCAGGCCUCACCUUGGCCGUGUGAUCAAGGUCCAGACCACCAGUGAUGAGGCAUGUUGACAUCGUGGCCCCUGAGAGCACGUGAUGAGAAGAGCGCUCCACCUCCGCCGUGUUCUUCCGCAAACGCACAGUUCCAAUGUAAUCAGAGAGAACAUCACACACACACCAAUUGAGGGGCAUCUUGCAGAAUACCUGAGCAGUACUCUGCAAAGCUGUCAAGGCGGUGAAACGAAGACAGGCCAGGAAAGGGUCACCGGUGCAGGGGACUAAGGAGGCGUGAGGGCCAGUGCAGCCUGGGGUCCUGGACGUGAGCUGCUGAGACGGCACCCGCGUGAGUGUCGCAGUUUCCACACCGUG